AUAACAAAACAGGAUUCUUUCGAGGUCCUGUAAUUGGAAUGAGUACACUUUAAAUCCUUUAAUGAGGAUCUAUUGGAGGGCAAGUCUGGUGCAGAGCGACUGACCCGUGCGUGCUGCAGCUGAAA
rnacentral:rRNA from 1 species